AGAUAGGAUAUGGACAGAUAUUUGCUAAAUAAGGAUCUCUUUUACGCAGCUGAAGCCGGAGAUUUAGAAAAGGUCAGAUAUUGUCUUGCCGAAGGUGCAAAUAUAAACAGCCGACACGGCUUGUAUGAUGGUACUCCCUUACACGCAGCUGCUGGAGGUGGAUUCAUCAACAUUGUUAAAUUGUUAUUAGAAAGAGAAGAUAUAGAUCCUAAUAAACAA